rnacentral:lncRNA from 1 species
GCUGAGGGAAGUAAUCCAUUGAGGUGUGAGCAAUCCCGUGAAUGGUCCUCAGCCUUCAGCUGUGUGUGGAUUGAUCAGCACCUACAGUGACCUGAGUGUGUCCUCUCUUCAGAAUGAGCUUUACAGGAACUGUUAUGUCCAGGUGAUGCAACCUUUGAGAAAAGCCAUGGCAACUCAUUCAUCAGGGCUGACAGUCCAAUUUUUCCUCAGUCAAAAC